GCUUGUAUCCACUUGAGGAGAAUUGUACUGUAAUUUUAGUACGUGGCAAGUUAGUCUGUUAUAGUGUGAAUUCCUGUAAUGUGAACAUUGAUCCAUACAGAAAUAGAAUCCAAAGUAGCAGGAGCGGAAGGCAUGUAUUUAAAUAUGAAUCUGAAGAAGAAUGAUCAACAACAGCAGAUGUCUGACCUCAGCUGAGACCUCUGAAAGAGCUCCCCUCAAAGGUUCAUUCAGUAAUGCAACCUUGCCAUUUGAGCUCAUUCCAAAGCCUACAUGGAUCUUAACUGCCUUUGCAGAUGGAAGCCUCAGCCAGUUGAUGUCAAGAAACACUACAAGGAAAAAAAAAUUCACCCCUUGAGUCCUGGAAAGCCUGUAUCAGUCCUAGUGUGUCCAGAAUUGGUUCCUUCCUGUGGGUACUUGCUCUCGC
rnacentral:lncRNA from 10 species